rnacentral:misc_RNA from 1 species
CAGACAUUAACGCAUCCAGAUAUCCUACACUUUUACAUGUUUUGUAGCACAUAGCAACAAAGUUUUAAGUUUUUUUUUUCCAAUUAUGAAAAUAGAAAUACUGAACACCUAUUCAUAACACAGGGAGAUGCUAAGAACAACCAAACAUAGUUUAUGGCUUCUUUCACAAGAAUUCUUCCCUGUACCCCACCCAAAACCUACAUUCCUGACUAUUUGAGAUAACAAUGACACCAGGCAAGGAUCCAGUUCAGCUCAUCCACUUCCAGGGGCAUCAGCAGCAGCUGGCUUGCGAUUCAGGUAGCGGAUAACAGCAUCCUCAACCCAUGGUUGGCUGUAAAACUGAGACCGGCGCUCCUUCUCAACAUUGCGACUUGGCUCCCCACUAACAACUUUCAGGUCCUUGCUCUGGGAUUCUAGAAGUGCAUCAAUAAACUCAACAGGGGAUUGACUAAAACCCAGAAAAAAAGCCCUUCUCCUUCUAUGUUCAUGGAUCUUCCUUAUAGCAGAACAAAUUGCUUCAUCGCAAGUUUCAAUCUCUUUGGUCUUUUCGGGAUCCAGAGGGAGCUGAAUGCUUUGCUUGCCAAUACCGAAAAGACCAAAGAGAUU